CCCGGGCCGUGUCGCAUGCACUGUCAGUUUCGCUCGGAUACUCGUACACGAGUUUUAUCGUGCUCUGUCUACGCUCGCCGCGCUCCUUGUUCAACAUACUAAACUCACUAAGGAGAGAAGAUCCAUCCGCGCACACGCUUCAGACGCAUACUCCUCUUUUUCCAAUUCGUUCGACAACACGGUCCAUGAAUCAGAAGAAUUAGAUCAUCUACUUUACGUUAAUCGUUCGCUUCGUUUAGUAACAAAAUACGAGUAGAACGUGAGAUUACGCUUAGACUUCUCUGUUUUUUCCACCGCCCGUUGCUACGUACAGAAGAAUGAAAAUCAGUUGAGAUCGUUCGAUUUGCAUAGUAGAAUAUAUAUUAUAAGAACACGGUGUACAAGUCGUCGAAUGAAUAUCCCUUUCUUUUAGUUGUUUUUGUUCCUCAAUUUCAAAGAAUUUCAAAGAAGUAAAAAAGAGAGGUUUUGUUCAUCUAUGUACCAUUGGUCAAUUAAGUAGUUCACGGAUAAAGACACGUUCCAGCGGGAAGAGAGAAGCACUAGUGUCACGUAAGUGGGAGCGAGACGGACUAUUAUGAGGAAGAAGUAUCGGGGGCGAUUUCUAUGCAUGCUAACGCGUAGAUCUCGAAUAGCGGAGACAUAAUGGCGACAUUCAGUGAAAAACUAAAGGAAAAUCGGAUGCUUAUCGAUUCGUAUCUCUUUUCACGAGUUUGAUCUCUACACUAGUCUUUGUAUCGCGAAAUGCUGUAUCGAACGCUCGAUUUUGGAUUAUUGCACCAUACCAGGGAGAAGAUUAAAGCAUCGCGGUUGAGAUGGAUCAGUUCGAUGGAAACAAUUGAUAAGUGAAAGUCUGGUCUCGAGGAAGAGUGAUCGCGGAGAACGCGAAAACUCCUUUAUCUCCCACUAUCUCGUCUCAUAUAAACCUCGUAUUACUAUUCCAUUCCUUUUCCUUUUUCCCAUACAUCUCGCCGGUUGAAACAAAGAUUGUGGUGGAUUUUUUUGAAAAACGCGACGGUUCUAUCAAGCGACAUCGUGGACCGAAUAUGAGAGAGAGAAACAAAAAAUGAAGAGUUUAUUUUUUACUCUGGGUCUAUUGUUUUCGGUGCAAAGACUCGCCCGGAGCACAUCCGAUUCCGAGAUGCACGAGAAUCGGGCACUGGAACCACUCGACCGUGGACCUUACUUUGACAUCUCAGCGUCACGGAAUGUCACCGCGCUGGUUGGCAAAACGGCCACCCUCACCUGUCGAGUACGGAAUCUGGGCGAUCGUACGGUUUCCUGGGUAAGGCACAGGGAUAUCCAUCUUUUAACUGUUGGCGUUGAAACGUAUACAUCCGACCAAAGAUUCGUGGCAUCACACUUUCCCAGAACCGAAGACUGGACGCUCCAAGUGAAAUAUCCUCAGCGUCGUGAUUCCGGGAUCUACGAGUGUCAAGUGUCAACGACACCACCAAUCGGCCAUUCGAUGCAUCUCUCCGUCGUCGAACCCGUCACGUCGAUCGUUGGAGAACCAGAGAUGUUCAUAAACAAGGACAGCACCAUGAAUCUCACUUGCGUGGUACGUCACAGCCCCGAACCACCGACUGCCAUUUAUUGGACCCAUGACCACGAGGUGAUCAACUACGAUAGUCCUAGGGGAGGCGUAUCGGUGAUCACCGAGAAGGGAGAAGUUACAACGUCGUAUCUUUUGGUGCAGCGUGCCCAGCGUGCAGAUAGCGGCCAGUAUACCUGCCAUCCCAGUAACGCUAAUACAAAGACAAUCCUCGUGCACGUACUUAAUGGGGAACAUCCAGCAGCGAUGCAACACGGUGGCCAACUGAGGCUGGCAAAUCUGCCAUUCGUAAUGAUCUCAACGACUCUGCUGGCCUUCCUGAAUCAUCGUUAUUGAACCCAGCUACCAUCAUGGGAUCACGAAAUACUCAUUUCAGAUAUUCAUCGGUUAAAUUAAUACGUCACUAGUAGUCGCUUUCUGAAAAUUGGAGAACUUCUGACCACGCAGAAAAAUGGCUGCUACGAAGAGGAAGUGACAACCAUCUUGAAAGUAUACGAACCACGUUAAAAAGAUAUCGAUGAGAAAUGGAAACCGUAAAGUGAUAUUAUUGGAUCAAGAACACGAGGAGAAAGAUCUGUGAAGGAAGAAUAGAAAAAGGUGAAGGUGGAAUCGGACCAUAUUGCGGCACAACGGAUGCUGAAUGUAUUAUAAGAAAAGUAGUCUGUUGUAACGAAAUAAUAUAAGACUUAAUCUAUUAUAGGGUGUUUCAGAAUUGAGUAAUAAAAUGAUGCUUUUUUUAUUUUAUAAAUGCACGUUACGAAAGAAGUUUAUAACAUAAGUUAUAAGAUAAACUUAUAAAAUAUAAGAGGAAAGUUUUUUUUAGAACGACCACCAUCUUAGGUAAUGAAAGUUAGAUCAAGUUUCAAUUGAUUUAGAUCUCUAUAUCCAUAUCUGAAAUUUGACGUGAAAGAAUAUUGAUUUAAAAUAUGGGUACUAUAAUUUAUGUACAGUCUCUCCUCUUUUCUAUCUCAAUUUCGCUUUCAUUUCAAAAGAUACUAUAAUAUAUGUAUUUGGACCAUUAAUAACUAUUAGUAAUAAAAUAAAUUUCUAUUCCUUCAAUAUAAUUUUUCAAUUUUGAGACAUCCUAUAUUUAAAAAAAUAAGGUAAAAAAUGAAUAAAAAGUAAACUGUCGAUGGUAAUAAUAGUUCGUUGAAGACGAACCGUUUACUGCUGAACAAACUACGAUUUUAUUUGCUGUGUUACAGUUAUGAGACAAUACAUUGUACUUGCCAAAGGAAAUGUACGAAUUACUGUUGAAAUGCAAUUAAGAUUUUUAACCGUUUCGUCAUAAACGAUUUGUUAUACAGAGUGAGUUAAGUAUAAAGUUGUAAGUUGAUCUUUCAUAAAUCACUAAAUAUAUUGACUUCAUAUUUUUAAUUAAAUAGAUCAAAUAGCCUAAUCACUUACAAUAAUUUGUUUUAAAUGACUAAGAAAUUAAAAAGAAUACUUCAAAUACAUAUUAUACAGUUUAGUAAGAGUUAUUAUAAAUAAAGAAUCUAAUAUCUAACUCCAUUUAAAAUAAAUGAGAAAAUAUCACUCUAUAUUCUUAGAUGUCGCCCUACAAAAAUUUAUUUACAAUGAUUGUCCAUAUGUGUUAUUUAAUUUAAAAAAAAUGUCAAUAUGUACAAUGAUUUCUGAGAAAAUGACUUGUAACGCUUUAUUUGUCUCACUCUAUAUAUGGUAUAUAGACUAUGUUACAAUUUCUAAAGCACGAGGAAAUACUGGAGAAAAUUUGUUUGUUUUGUAAGAUGACAAAACGGGAGAGGAGGAAUCGUGAAAAUCGUUUUCGACCGUGUAAAUUGAGAAUCCGGAUUAGAGACAUGAAAUAAAUCUGGAUUAUCUUCGAAUUCGAUUCGAUUCGAUUCGAUUCGAUUCGAUCAGAAAAGAAAAUAAGCGUUUCACGCUAGAAAAGACAGUGAUAACAAGCAACAGUAAUGUUUGUUACGAAACAAAAAAACAACGCAAUCAUUUUUUCGUUUUGUUUAUUGUAUUUUAUUAUUUUGUUGAUAAUUACACGAAUGUCUGAAUAAAAAAAUAAAUAAGCGGUUUUUCGAUGAAGAUUCAAAACAAACAUCAGAGACUAUGUUCAUAUUAGAAUCACUGUAAAAGGUUAGUCGUGGCUAACAAGAGUAUACUUAGGAAAUUGUCGCUAUGUAUAUCGAAAACCGAAAUUCAAUCGAAAAUAUUGAUCGGUUUGAAAAGUAAUAUGCUAAAAUAUAAUAGUAGAGAUCGCUUGAACUUAAAUUAAUAUUUUUUGGAAUAAACUAAUAAACAAUUGUAUCGAUUGUAGAAAGUCUCCUAUGGGAACCGAACGGGAUUUCUAAUAAGAAUAUAGUUCUGAUUUAGGUGGUUGAAUCGUGAUAUUAGCGGCAAACCAUAAUCCGUUAUCGCAGUAUAGAAAACGUUAAACUCAAAACGUAAAACUGAAGAAAGAUAACCGACUAGGAACAACGGAUACUAUUAAUCUAAUAAAAAAAUCAUACACCUAUUCAGUUUUCAGUUUCACGUUGUCUGUUCUGCAAAUACUCUCGAUAAAUGUUACACACGAUCCAUAUUUUUUGGGCAUCCGAGCUCAGGGUAUACUUCCACACCGUUUUCGGUGACGUAGAAAAAUUGCAAUUUAUAAUGUGUUCAUUGUGUAUUAACGCAUCUCGUCGUUGGUGUAUACACACAUAUACAUACAAAAAGAAAAAACAGCAUCGUAAUAGUGAACAAAAGUAAGAAAUCAGUUGUUAGGAUCGUAAGUUCGUUGAGUCACGAGGGUCAAGUUGUACUUAAGAAACUCUCCGUUAUAAAGUAACUAAAUACUUUUCAUCUAUCGACCUAUGAAGCCAGAAAUGGCACAAUAUUGAUGAAAAAAGGAGAAAAAGAAUUGAAUGCGUGGACCCAAAAUUAAAAUCGUUCUAAUUGGACCAGAAUAACGACUGUUAAUAUUUUAUUUAGUUAUAAGUUUUCAAUAAACGUCGGUUACGUACGUACAUUGUUAAAAUAAAGUUUUUUCUCAUAACCAUCAUGUGCGUGUAUUUGAAUGAGCGUGAAUGAGAUUAUGAAAAUGAUAAACGAACGAAUGAUAUAUUAUGUGCAAAAGAAAUAUUUCAGUAAUCAGAUUAAGGGAAAAUCGAUUCUAUAGCGGUUACACAUGUUCAAAGAUUAAUUGCAAAAAGUAGUUUAAGCGCGUUACACGCGAAAAUCGAAACGCAGUUUCUGUUAUAGCUGUAAAUGGUUUCUGUUGAACCCGCAAUAUAUUAUAAUUUGUUUAUGUACUUAUCUUCUCUGAUAUCUCUCUGAUUAACUUUACCAGAUUGAAAUAAAAAAUUGUCAAUCCCAAAAUAGGACAGGUAAUUUAUAAUAUUAAUAAUAAAAUUUUAUCAUAUGUAACGUA